GAGUUCGUAGGUGGUUGAAAAAGUUGGUGGUGAAAUCCCAGAGCUUAACUCUGGAACUGCCAUCAAAACUUUUCAGCUAGAGUAUGAUAGAGGAAAGCAGAAUUUCUAGUGUAGAGGUGAAAUUCGUAGAUAUUAGAAAGAAUACCAAUUGCGAAGGCAGCUUUCUGGAUCAUUACUGACACUGAGGAACGAAAGCAUGGGUAGCGAAGAGGAUUAGAUACCCUCGUAGUCCAUGCCGUAAACGAUGUGUGUUAGACGUUGGAAAUUUAUUUUCAGUGUCGCAGUGAAAACGAUAAACACACCGCCUGGGGAGUACGACCGCAAGGUUAAAACUCAAAUGAAUUGACGGGGACCCGCACAAGUAGUGGAGCAUGUGGUUUAAUUCGAAGAUACGCGCAGAACCUUACCAACACUUGACAUGUUCGUCGCGACUUUAAGAGAUUAAAGUUUUCGGUUCGGCCGGACGAAACACAGGUGCUGCAUGGCUGUCGUCAGCUCGUGUCGUGAGAUGUUGGGUUAAGUCCCGCAACGAGCGCAACCCUCACUUUUAGUUGCCAUCAUUAAGUUGGGCACUCUGAAAGAACUGCCAGUGAUAAGCUGGAGGAAGGUGGGGAUGACGUCAAGUCCUCAUGGCCCUUACGUGUUGGGCUACACACGUGCUACAAUGGUAUCUACAACAGGAAGCGAAACGGCGACGUUAAGCAAAUCCUUAAAAGAUACCUCAGUUCGGAUUGCACUCUGCAACUCGAGUGCAUGAAGCUGGAAUUACUAGUAAUCGUGGAUCAGCGUGCCACGGUGAAUGCGUUCCCGGGUCUUGUACACACCGCCCGUCACACCAUGGGAGUUGGUUCUACCUUAAGGCAAGGUUUUAAACCCUUGACCACGGUAUAGUCAGCGACUGGGGUGAAGUCGUAACAAGGUAGCCGUA
rnacentral:rRNA from 1 species